GACGAACGCUGGCGGCGUGCCUAAUACAUGCAAGUAGAACGCAGUUGCGAACGGGUGAGUAACGCGUAGGUAACCUGCAUCAUAGCGGGGGAUAACUAUAGGAAACGUAAGCUAAUACCGCACACUGUGAGAUGGACGUGAGUUGUAUUAGCUAGUUGGUGAGGUCAAGGCGCACCAGGGCGACGAUACAUAGCCGCCCUGAGAGGGUGAUCAGCCACACUGGGACUGAGACACGGCCCAGACUCCUACGGGAGGCAGCAGUGGGGAAUUUUGGACAAUGGGGGCAACCCUGAUCCAGCCAUCCCGCGUGUGCGAUGAAGGCCUUAGGGUUGUAAAGCACUUUUGGCAGGAAAGCGGUACCUACAGAAUAAGCACCGGCUAACUACGUGCCAGCAGCCGCGGUAAUAC
rnacentral:rRNA from 1 species